AAUUUUUCACCCAGACCUGUCUUAUACAUGGGUUCCCCUGCAAGGAAGCACUGAUGUGCUGCCCCCAACUUGGCAUAGAAAGUUGUAGACUUUAUUUGAUUUUGAGACUUCAUAAAUGCAACAAACUUCAACUCACAGUGGUUGCACUCAAAGAUGGAAUGGUCUAUGUUGUCCUAUCUUCCUUGCUAUGAUACCAUCAGAAAAUAAGUAAAUGCCAAAACAUUCUCCAUGUAUUCUCCCCUAAGCAGAAAAUGAAAAGCUGUGGAUUCCUUCCAGAUUUUUAUGGUUUGAUGAAGCAAGACCCCGAAACAGUAUCCCAAGUGAUCCAGCAUCUAAGACAGCUGAGAUGAUGCCGUCAUGCAGACUACAAAAACGGACCUGGCCAGGUUUCUGUGUUUUUUAUG